rnacentral:rRNA from 1 species
AUGCAUUGGAAAAGAUGGAUCGACAUUGCAGUUCCGAAGAGUGAGGGAGGAAUGGGAUUCAGGGACAUUCAACUUUUCAACCAAGCUAUGUUGGCGAAGCAGGGUUGGAGGUUGAUAACGAAUCCAAACUCGCUGUGUGCAAGAAUUCUAAAAGGCAAGUAUUACCAUGAUUGUGACUUCAUGUCCGCAAGAAAUAAAAGAAAUGCUAGUCAUACAUGGAGAGCUAUUCUGCAUGGGAGAGAGGCGCUUAGCAAAGGUUUAAUUAAGAGGGUUGGUGAUGGAAGUUCUAUCAGGAUUUGGGAGGACCCGUGGAUACCGGAGAGUCAUAGUAAGCGGCCACUGAUUAGAUUACCUACUGCAUAUGUAUUAAAAGUGGAAGAGCUGAUUGAUAUGGACUCCGGAAGCUGGGAUUUGCAAACUCUUGAAGCGAACUUUUUGGAGCUAGAUUUAUCCAUGAUUGCAAGAAUUCCAAUUGGGAGACUUCAAGAAGACUUCUGGGCGUGGCACCCGGAUAGACUUGGGAAUUUCUCGGUAAAAUCUGCGUAUAACAUGUUGGUUAUGUUGCGUCGUGAUUCAGAACAUUCUUCGACCUCGACAGGACCUGACAAGAUGUUCUGGAAGAAGCUUUGGCGCCUUCCAGUACCCCCAAAAGUCCGGAAUUUUUGGUGGCGAGUUAUUAAAGAAUUUAUACCAACUAGAUCAGUCUUGUGUGCAAGACAUUUGGAGCAGACUGGGUUCUGUGAGGCUUGUGGUCAGGAAGAAACUAUAUGGCACGCAUUGUUUGAUUGCACUUGGGCGAAGCUUUUCUGGCAAAAGGUGAAACUAAUCACAGGAAUCAAAAUACCAAACCUGCGUCCAGACUCUUGGGCGAUGGAUAUGCUUGACGAAAUGGCAGUGAAACAAGCUGAUGCUUGUGUCAUCUUAUGUGGUGUUUGGGCAGUCUGGACGGAGAGAAAUGCGCGCGUGCAUGGGGAGAGACAUAGACCAGUGAAACAUAUGCAGAGUUGA